CAGCAGCCGCGGUAAUACGUAGGGUGCAAGCGUUAAUCGGAAUUACUGGGCGUAAAGCGUGCGCAGGCGGUCCGCUAAGACAGAUGUGAAAUCCCCGGGCUUAACCUGGGAACUGCAUUUGUGACUGGCGGGCUAGAGUAUGGCAGAGGGGGGUAGAAUUCCACGUGUAGCAGUGAAAUGCGUAGAGAUGUGGAGGAAUACCGAUGGCGAAGGCAGCCCCGCUGGGCCGACACUGACACUGAGAGACGAAAGCUAGGGGAGCAAAUGGGAUUAGAUACCCGCGUAGUCCCUGUCUCUUAUA
rnacentral:rRNA from 1 species